rnacentral:lncRNA from 1 species
GAGAGGUUGUAACACCUCUGUGUUUAAAACCAUUAAGAACGAUUAUUAAGGGCAAUAAUGUGAUUUAUGGGUUUAAAAUGUGGAUUAUUGGACUUGGUCAACUUAUGUUGGAAAAGGUCAAAUCUGAUCAAAAUUCAAACAAAAUAUUCAAAUAUGUUGAAAAGAGGUUUGAAAGUGUUUGGCACGAUAAAAUUAAGCUUGGGUCAGGACCUGGACUAAAAGCUUUUCAGAUCAAGUGUCAAAGACAGAGGUA